GCGAUCCGGUAUCCAACGCUCGUGUCUAUACCAGGGAGGAACUACUGAAUCUCCGGUAUUCCCUCAAAGGACCUCCGAAAUUUCCCCUUAGCCCUCCUGGAAUAAUCUAUCCUCGAUGGAGCAUUAAGAAGGAGGUGGGAUUCGGAACAGGCUUAAACGCCGUGGAAGCCGCUUCCCCCUUCCGACAGUAACUCUUUCCAACGUGAGCUCACUACUGAACAAAAUGCAUGAACGUGCUGCACUGAUAAAGUACGAUAGGGAUUUCAGCAAGGCUAACCUGAUCUGCUUUACUGAGACAUGGUUGAACGAGGAUGUCAAUAAUAUCAGUUUAGAUGGAUAUUCUCUAGUUCGCUGUGACCGGGAUAUAAUACAGACGGCAAAGCAAACUGGAGGUGGACUGUGUAUGUUCAUAAACUACAGCUGGGGAACAAAUUUCACGGUAAGGUAAGGUAAGGUAAGGUACGGAGGUAAGGAGCACACACUGAGUACAGUGCCUUACCGCACCCACCACACGACGAACCACCUCAGGGAUGAGAACCUGAGUGCAGCCGUGCAGUGGGUGACACCUCAGCACCACACCAGUCCCAAUGGAACAGUAUUCUGCAUAUGUACGUUACUGUCGAACCUCGUUACUACGUACAAGACGGGAUAUCAAAAACAUGUACGUUAUAAGCACAGAACGUUGUAACCACUUAGUGCAAGAUGGAUGAAAGAACUCACGAAAUAUCCAUGUAAAUGAUCAAACUUUAAUAGAACAGACCCUUAAAUUGACUACAAAACAAACGAACACAUUAUUACUUGUUAAAUAAUUCAACAAAGCUCAUUUGGAUCCUUGAAAUUUUCCUUAAAUUACUCACGAUUACUUAGUGCCGGCCGGCGAUAAACGGCAACGAAAAUACACAACGGCUGGUCAAAAUGGAUUUUUAAAAUAAACAUUCGCAUCCAAAUUGGCAUUUGGCCUGAAAAUAUUAAUGAAAUAUUGGUCAAAUUAAUUAUUUCUGCUUUCGUUUUGGAGACAUUUUGACACGUGCUGAAUGACAAGAGGAAAAACGUACGGGGCGCCCUGCUGUUAUUACCGGAGUCCGGCCGUGACGGAAUAAAGCCAGCAUUGCCAAGCAACGCAAUAGACAAAUGUGCAUUGUCGGGCGAAGAUCGGGUAGAUAUAGGUAGAUGCAGCGACACAAGUUGUGGUGGGCGGGGAGAGCGCUGCACGUUGUAACGAUGACCUCAAUCUAUCAAGAUAUCCAGCACACCCGACCACCACCAGUGACGUCCCUGCAUCCAGCUCGCCGUUCUGAUCUUCCAUGUAUGACCCGCUGCCUUACCUCUGGUUGCCUGGCAAUUGGAAGAAGACUCGGCUUCGGCAUUGGCUUAUCUUCCUUGCUCUCCUCUCUCUAUUUGACUAUCCCUGCCGGCCCCUGGAGGAUGGGCUUCCCCUUUGAGUCUGGUCCCUCUCAAGGUUUCUUCCUUCUAGGGAGUUUUUCCUUGCCACUGUCGCCUAUGGCUUACUCACUGGGGGCUUUGGGUGAGGAUACUGUAAAGCGCUUUGAGACAAUGUAAUGUUGUGAUAAUGCGCUAUAUAAAAAUAAAUUUGUUGUUGUUGUUGUUGUUGA